GGGGCCCGCACAAGCGGUGAGCAUGUGGUUAAUUCGACGCAACGCGAAGAACCUUACCAGGGCUUGACAUCCCCUGACCGCGUAUGAAAGUACGUUUUCACCCUCGGGUGACAGGGAGACAGGUGGUGCAUGGUUGUCGUCAGCUCGUGUCGUGAGAUGUUGGGUUAAGUCCCGCAACGAGCGCAACCCCUAUUGUUAGUUGCCAUCAUUCAGUUGGGCACUCUAGCGAGACUGCCGGUAAUAAACCGGAGGAAGGUGGGAUGACGUCAAAUCAUCAUGCCCCUUAUGACCUGGGCUACACACGUGCUACAAUGGUUGGUACAACGAGUUGCGAGUCGGUGACGGCGAGCUAAUCUCUUAAAGCCAAUCUCAGUUCGGAUUGUAGGCUGCAACUCGCCUACAUGAAGUCGGAAUCGCUAGUAAUCGCGGAUCAGCACGCCGCGGUGAAUACGUUCCCGGGCCUU
rnacentral:rRNA from 1 species